CUCUGGCCCGGGCCUCCCCAGGCUGGCGCGCGCGGUAAAGGCUCAUCCAGCAAAGGCAGGAAGAAGUAGUUUUCCCAGGCUUGGAACGGUUUAGGAGACCGUGUUCCAUAAGAACUCCACGCUCUCCCCGGCAUACGCCCUGGGGUCCCAGCUUAGCUGCAAAGUAAAAGAUGUGCACCAGGAGCGGAGUAGGAGCCAUUCACAAGAGGCAUCAGUUUGGGAGAAGAAGGCCGAAUGAGUCCAAGGAACGUCCUGUACUUCCCACUUGGAGAGAAGGGGGAGCAGAAGCCCCCCCAGGGGCACGAGCCAGGUCAGCUGCUGUCACUGGAGAGACAUGGCCGGGCAGCUGGCAUCACAGGUCUGGCAGAACAGCAGCCGCUAACCCCCAGUUUGUCUCCGUGGCAGUGCUCCUUCGCUCUGUGUAAUGUCUGCCCGUAACCCAUCCACCAUCACUGGCUCCGUUUACCUCCUCUCAUAACCGCAUCUCUCCCCUGUCGGAUGAAAGGCUCACUCCCUUGGAUAGCUGUUAAAAUGGCUUCCUUGUUAAGGGAAUGUGUCUUUGUUUAGCCCUUAUUAUCAAAGGAUAUUUUCCUUGAUGUUCUAAAGUUUCAGGAACACAGUUCGCCACUUCCGUGACAUAACGUGUUCUUGUCCCACUGGUGCACUGCCGUCUGAGUUACGUCGCCCAUGACCUAUUACAUAGCUCCAGAUGGUUGCUUUAAGAUACGAAUCGGGCCGUAUCCCACCCAUCGCUUGGAAAUGUUGUGAUCUUUAGUUGUAUUGCUCUACCCUUUUGCCAACAACUUGUCAGUUUAUUUUGUUUGUUUUUAGUUUUUGAGAGAGGAGAGAUAGCGAGCGCGAGCUCAGGGAGGGGCCAAGGAAGAGAAAGAGAAUCUUAAGCAGGGUCCAUACUCAGCACAGAGCCCGACACGGGGCUCCAUCCCAUGACACUUAGAUUGUGAACUGAGCUGAAACCAAGAGUCAGACACUCAACCGAGUGAGCCCCCCAGGCACCCCAACUUCUCAGAUUAUAGUCUGUCAAUUUGCAGACCAAAUUUUUUUUAUUUAUUUAUUUUUUAUGAAAUUUAUUGGCAAAUUCGUUUCCAUAC